AGCCAGACUCCUACGGGAGGCAGCAGUGAGGAAUAUUGGUCAAUGGCCGGAAGGCUGAACCAGCCAAGUCGCGUGAGGGACGACUGCCCUAUGGGUUGUAAACCUCUUUUAUAAGGGAAGAAUAAAUGCUACGUGUAGCAUGAUGCCUGUACCUUAUGAAUAAGCAUCGGCUAACUCCGUGCCAGCAGCCGCGGUAAUACGGAGGAUGCGAGCGUUAUCCGGAUUUAUUGGGUUUAAAGGGUGCGUAGGCGGGUUUUUAAGUUAGUGGGUUAAAGUCGGGGCGUCCCCGUGAUUUGCCAAUAAUAAUGUUAGACUCGAGGUAAGGCGAGGGAGGCGGAAUAAGUUAAGAAGCGGUGAAAUGCUUA
rnacentral:rRNA from 1 species